rnacentral:rRNA from 1 species
UACGUAGGGUGCAAGCGUUGUCCGGAAUUAUUGGGCGUAAAGAGCUCGUAGGCGGUUUGUCGCGUCGAAUGUGAAAACCCGGGGCUCAACUCCGGGCCUGCAUUCGAUACGGGCAGACUAGAGUUCGGUAGGGGAGACUGGAAUUCCUGGUGUAGCGGUGAAAUGCGCAGAUAUCAGGAGGAACACCGGUGGCGAAGGCGGGUCUCUGGGCCGAUACUGACGCUGAGAAGCGAAAGCGUGGGGAGCGAACAGG